rnacentral:tRNA from 1 species
CAACAAGUAUUUUAUAUUAAAAUAUAAGUUUUGGAGGCUUAGGAUGUGAAAUUUUUCACUUUGUUGA